UACGAAGGGGGCUAGCGUUGUUCGGAAUCACUGGGCGUAAAGCGCACGUAGGCGGAUCGUUAAGUCGGGGGUGAAAUCCCAGGGCUCAACCCUGGAACUGCCUUCGAUACUGGCGAUCUUCGAGUCCGGGAGAGGUGAGUGGAACUCCGAGUGUAGAGGUGAAAUUCGUAGAUAUUCGGAAGAACACCAGUGGCGAAGGCGGCUCACUGGCCCGGUACUGACGCUGAGGUGCGAAAGCGUGGGGAGCAAACAGGGAGUUAA
rnacentral:rRNA from 1 species